GCAGGACUCCACAGAACAAACUUCACAGGUAAAGGGCUGCUGACCCAUAAAGAAGGCUCUGUGAUAGCUUCAUACUGAGGAAUAUGGUUUCCAUAUCAAGACCCUGGGCUAUAAACAGUUUGUGAUAUAUUUUUAUGUAAUUGUUAAUUGUUUAAUAUAGCAUUCCAGUUGAGCCAAAGUCAGCAUAGCUCAGAAUACAAGCUAUCAUCGACCAUGCUCUUCGCCGCAAAGAGACACCGUGCUCCUGGAAACUCAUAGAGGGAACUAUUUAGCCGAGACUAGCUUCCUUGCAGAAGAAAAUCUCCACCUGUCUGCCUUCGGAUGAAGAUGUAGAACUCUCAUCUCCUCCAGCACCAUGCCUGUCUGGAUCUUGCCAUGCUUCUG
rnacentral:lncRNA from 1 species